rnacentral:rRNA from 1 species
GACGUAUGGGAUCGGCCCGCGGUGCAUUAGCUAGUUGGUAAGGUAAGGCUUACCAAGGCGAUGAUGCAUAGCCCGAGUUGAGAGACUGAUCGGGCCACAUUGGGGACUGAGACACGGGGCCCAAACUCCUACGGGGGGAGGGGCAGCAGUAGGGGGAAUCUUCCACAAUGGACGCAAGUCUGAUGGAGCAACGCCGCGUGAGUGAAGAAGGUUUUCGGAUCGUAAAGCUCUGUUGUUGGUGAAGAAGGAUAGAGGUAGUAACUGGCCUUUAUUUGACGGUAAUCAACCAGAAAGUCACGGCUAACUACGUGCCAGCAGCCGCGGUAAU